CUUAUACUAAAACAAGGGAAAGUCCUCAAAAGCAUUUGAGAGCACUGAGCCAAGGUAGGUUUGUCGGCCAAACGGCCACAACUGCCAAGGUUUUGUUUCAGCCAAGCCCGAGUAUAAAACUGCUGCUGCAACUUCUUGUGAUCUCUAUGGAAACCAAAGAUGUCGAGGCCAACAGAGACAAAGAGAAGUGUUACCAUUCAGUUCUUCCCAAAAUAAAGGACAUGAACAUAAGGAACUGCUAUUACUUUGAAACAGCACUUUCACAAAUGGCUUACUAACUCUGGCAAAAACCUUUUGGCAAAAAUAAAAAUAUUUCAAGAAGA